rnacentral:ncRNA from 1 species
CUGGCUUGAUCUCGAUGUUCAGUACGCAUAGAGACUGCGAAAGCACGGCCUAUCGAUUCUUUUGGCUUGAAGAGUUUUCGUAGCUAUGUCGUGCCGUAGCUAUGAGGCUGGUACUCUUGUUGACAUAGCGAGAGUGGCGACGGAGACUGGUGAAGUUGAUGUCACGGGCAUUGAGAGAUG